rnacentral:lncRNA from 1 species
GGCUGACGAGUGGAAGGAGAGAUGCCCUGAGGCUGACGAGGGGAAGGAGAGAUUCCCUGAGGCUGACGAGGGGCAGGAGACUUUAUCUUCCGAAGGAUAGAUGAGCUGAGGCUGACGAGGGGAAGGAGAGAUGCCCUGAGGCUGAUGAGGGGAAAAGAGAAGUGUCCUGAGCCUGACAAGGGGAAGGAGAGAUGCCCUGAGACUGACGAGGGGAAGGAGACUUCAUCUUCAGAAUGAGAGAUGCCCUGAAGCUGACGAGGGGAAGGAGAGAUGCCCUGAGGCUGACGAGGGGAAGGAGACUUCAUCUUCAGAAGGAGAGAUGCCCUGAGGCCGACGAGGGGAAGGAGACUUCAUCUUCAGAAGGCGAGAUGCCCUGAGGCUGACGAGGGGAAGGAGACUUCAUCUUCAGAAGGCGAGAUGCCCUGAGGCUGACGAGGGGAAGGAGAGAUGCCCUGAGGCUGACGAGGGGAAGGAGACUUCAUCUGCAG